rnacentral:lncRNA from 1 species
CCUAUUCAAACUGGCCCUGAGUUGUCUCAGUGCAGUUGCUGGGACAAUUCCUCCUGACCACCUUGACCUGAGCUGCACAGGAGGACGAGAGAGACACUCGGCGAUGGAUUCAGAGAGACGGUUUUGUCCUCGACCUCUGGACACCUCAAAGUUGUAUUGCUACUAUUACAGCAGUGGCAAACUCCGGUCCUGGAGAGCCGCAGCCCUGCAGAGUUCAGCUCUAACCCUAAUUAAAACUCACCUGCCUGUAGCUUCCAAUGUGUUCACUUAGAGAUGGCUGCCAGUCAACCAAUAAAGAAAAAGAGAUGACUACAAAGUAAUUUGUGUUGACAGACUGCCAUUACAUUUGCAUGUGAUUAUGUGGGUCAGGUUUUUCUUACAUAAGCCA